AGUGAACGCUGGCGGUAGGCCUAACACAUGCAAGUCGAACGGCAGCACAGAGGAGCUUGCUCCUUGGGUGGCGAGUGGCGGACGGGUGAGGAAUACAUCAGAAUCUACUCUGUCGUGGGGGAUAACGUAGGGAAACUUACGCUAAUACCGCAUACGACCUACGGGUGAAAGCAGGGGACCUUCGGGCCUUGCGCGAUUGAAUGAGCCGAUGUCGGAUUAGCUAGUUGGCGGGGUAAAGGCCCACCAAGGCGACGAUCCGUAGCUGGUCUGAGAGGAUGAUCAGCCACACUGGAACUGAGACACGGUCCAGACUCCUACGGGAGGCAGCAGCGGGGAAUAUUGGACAAUGGGCGCAAGCCUGAUCCAGCCAUACCGCGUGGGUGAAGAAGGCCUUCGGGUUGUAAAGCCCUUUUGUUGGGAAAGAAAUCCAGCUGGCUAAUACCCGGUUGGGAUGACGGUACCCAAAGAAUAAGCACCGGCUAACUUCGUGCCAGCCGCCGCAGUAA
rnacentral:rRNA from 1 species